rnacentral:lncRNA from 10 species
UCAAAUCAAGAACUGAAUCCUGGGGGCGGCCAGCAGGACUGGGGGCAAGGCAUGUUCAUUCUUCCUAAAUGAGUCUUUAUUGCAAGAGUGCUGCUUUCUCUCUGGUGCUUGUUAAAUACUGUAUUUAUGCUGUGUAUUUGUAUACAGUGGGAUUAAGGGACCAAACUGAAUUACUGAUGAUGGUUGCUUGAAGGGGUGUUUGACUAGGAGAUUUACACAGCGUUCUUAAUAAUCUUUUUUAUUUAUUUAUGGAAUGUUAUCAUUCCAAACGUACAGUUCUGCCAUCCCUUGGGAAAGAUGCUUUCUGUUUGAGGGCCACCAGCUCUGCAUGUUGAUUUGAAAAGAGAUAAAAGAGCAUCUGGCCACCACAGCACAGGCUGCACUUCCCUCCCUCUUCAUUAUGCAGAGAGCUGAUGCAAUUUUUGCUUCUUUCCUAUUUAUACAAAUAAAGACCACAAUUUGGGAAAUAUGUCAUGCUGGCAUUAAACACCACCAAUCUUGCUGGGUUGAAAUGUACACGUUCCAUUAACAACAAUUAUAUUGUAUAAUUAAGGUUUUGGUCCCCAAAGUCUGACGUGGAAGCUUCCUCAAAUACCGAUGGGUUUAUUGAAGAUGUUAAAAUAAAUAUACCCCUCCCGUUGCCCUCCUCCACUUCCCCAUUCCUCGCCCCCCUUCCAAAAGCACCACCAAUACCUGAGUCAAUGACUUGGUCUGCAGUAAAAGUGGGGUUCAAGUGCCCUCUAGUGUAGCUGUGACUGUGUGGAUAUGAAAAUAGAAAAGCUUUGAAAAGGCAGACAAAUGCCUGCAAGCAGAAUCAUCGAACAUUCCUGUACAUUUGAUGGGGCUCCUGUGUACGAGUUCCACAUGAUCAACACUGGGUGCAGGCAGGUGAUUUGGACCCCUCAGGAUGAUGCUGUCCAUACAAUCUUGCUAUAAUGUUUUCUUUGGUGAAGAUCUGUGAGCAUCCAAAUGAUAUGAAGAGCAAUAUGGCUAAUCUGCACUACUUCGGAAGCCUGGGAGGAAUACUUCCUCUUUGCUGGAUGUGGCGUCUGCGUGUACCAUCUGGAAUUGCUGUAGCCAACUUACAAAUACAGACGAAAGCUUUAUCAACCUGCUGAGCACAGCAGAAUGGAAAGAUGCAAAGCACCCUGCUCUUGGGAACUGGCCACCUUCAGACUUCUUGCUACAUCAGGUUUUAUCUACUACAAAGGAUAUCACUUGGGAAGGAAUUUCUUGAAACUGCUCCCAAGAGAGCCAUUGGACCAUGUGGUAAACAACUCCUAGCUGAUGGAUUAUUGGGUAAAGAUAAACCUGGAUGAUCCCAUGCUCAGAAAGUUUCCUGAUUAUAAUGAAUAAGAUGUAGCAGUGGCAUGCCCAAUAUUCCAUAGUAUGCUAUGCACAAAUAUACAUCACCUUUGUUUUUGUGGAUGGCAAGCUAUUAAACAGAAUAGGAAAGACCAGUGGGUUCCUGAUGGGAUUAGAGCAGUAGGUACCACGUAGUGAUUCUGACUUCCUCUGGGAAUAGCCCCACCCUGAGUUGAAGAAGGCUAUAGCAGGCCUGGUAUACAGAAACUAAAUUAUGUCUACCUGUAUCUUGUAUGGUGGACUCAGCAUUUUGGGUACAAAAUGUGUAUUUUAGUUGCACUCAGGCUGUUAGUACCCAAUGGCAACAACAUGAAUGGUAGAACACAGCACUGGCCUGUGAGACAGAAACAUGCUUUAGGGGAGACAUCUUCUAGUUGAGGCUUCAUUGGAUGAGCUGAAUUUGCUUUUAGUGAGGAGUGGCAUUUGGAGAAAAAGACUUAUUAACUAGAAUGAGCAGAUUAAAGGGAAUUCCAUUCCAGGAGGAAUGCAAGAAAUGACAGUCAGCCUGGACAGGUGAUGAGGCUUUAGUGAAGUAGGACAGGCCAACUCACAAAUAAUGCUGGAUAAUGCUAGGACCCAGUGUUGGGAAAGCCUUGUACUCAGGCACAACAGGGUCUCUUCAUUAUUUUAAUACUGACAGGGACUGAAGUAGCCAUGGAACAAUAGCCCUCCAUUCUAGCUGUUGAGGCCCGCGAGGCACACGUAUGGGAAUCUUAUGGCUCUUCACCUAUGGGAGUCCUCUAGGAACACUUGCAAUUUACACUGAAGCAAUGUGACUGCCCUUGCUCUAGGAUAGAUCAAAACAAGACAUAUCGUAAAGUACAGUUAUCAGAGGGAGGAACUGUUCUGAAUAUUACCAUGUCCUCCCUGUAGCAGGGAGGUGAGCCCUGCUAUGUGACAGCACAGAAUAAAAACUGGUCUUAGUACAAGCCUGUGAACUGAGACAGGGUGAAUGGUUUUGUCUGUAACUGACUUGGACCAUAGAAUAACCAAUCAUGACUAAUUGUCAUGGUGCCUAUUCAUAGUAAUAUAUGGUAUAUGGGCAAGGUUGAUUAUCUCGUGAAGGGAUAGCAAAUAUGUCUGUAAUUCUUAGUGAUUUGUUCUGUAAUAAAGCUGAACUGUACCAUGGUCAUACUGUGAUAUGGUAUAACAUUGGCACUGCUGGUAAGACUCAAUUACCUUAUGUAAAUAGGUCUUAUGAUAACACUGAUAUUGAUGAUCAACUGUAUUGGGAGAUUUAGUUAGAAUUUAUGACAGGAGGCAUUGGACCACAACAGACAGUCUAACAGUGUAAUUUAUGAUGGGGACUUUGGCUCACAUGGUAUCUGCUCUACCACAGGAAAGCCUCCAGAAGGGCUGGAGACUAAAGGUAUCAUCUCGACCUCUGGAGAGGCUGGAAACUAAAGGUCAGCUAUGUGUGCAGUUAGCCAUGUCUGCAAUAAAAACUCUGGACACCAGAGCUCAGGGUAGCUUCCCUGGCUGGUGGUAUUCCAUGCACAAUGUCAUAUGUUAUUUUCAGGAAUAUUAACAUCAUCCAGAAUGCUAUGGGGAGAAGACAACUGGAAGCUCCGUGUGGACAAACCUCCUGGACUCUGCCCCACAUAUCUCUUCCCUUGGCUGAUUUGAAUUUGUAUCCUUUCACUGUGAUAAACCACAACCAGAUUAUUACAGCUGUCAGCAAGUUCUUCUAUUGAAUUGUUGAAACUGAGGGUGGUCUUGGGAACCCCUGAACUCUACUGUUGGUGUCAGGAGUGAGGGAAGUCUUGUGGACUGUACUCCCUGACCUCACAGGUGCAUUUUCCAACUUUAUUUGGACAUUCCCCAACAACAUCAUCCCCUUCUUCAAAUAUGUUUCUGCUACAAACAUUGUCCUUUAGAUGGUUCCUUUGCUGCCAUUAUGACUAUGGCGUAAUCUGUAGUAAAGCACCAUUAAGAUGUUAAUACAGAUGUAUGUGUGAAUUAAAAAGUGAUGCUAAAUGCAUAGUAACCAAUUUACUUCGCAUUAAUAAUUUAGCUAUUUUUAUUUGUUUCUAAACAAAAAGCAAAGAGGAUCCAGUCCAGAGAGCAGUUGCAACAGUGUGCACAAUUUUUAUUAAACCGAAAUAAAAGUUCUUGGGCUAUGGAAGUCACCUAAAUUCACUUCUCUUUUCCUAUGAACUUUCACUUUUUUUCCUUCCAACUCUAGUUAGAAGCUGACAGCUGACACGCCCUUCCUUUGUGCAUUUUAUCCUGGGACAAAAUGAGAAGACAUCCUUCAGUUCCCAUCUUGGAUGGCAUAACUUCAAAACCAAGGGAGAUGGAGGAGUUUUAGAGGAGUAGAAGGCUGCAAGCAAGAACUGAUGCAUUACAUCUCCAGUCACCUCACUCUAAGAUUGUCCUGUAGCUAAGACUGUUGAAUGAGACUGUUGUUCUUCAGUUUGCAGCCACAAAGCACGGAGGCAUCUCCCCAAGAAUCCACUGCAGGGAGGAUGAACAGCCCUUACCUGGAUUUUUGCUUUAUCUAAAAAUAUAUUUGUAGAAGAAGGAGCAUUCUAGUUUCCAAAUACAAAGGGCAAUCUCCUUCUCUGUGUGUGCACGUGCAAACAAACACACUUCUACAAGUAAGCAUUCUUCUUUAUUAUCAUAGUCAUCAUCAUCACUGGGUUGGCAACUAAAAACAAAACUACAAAACUCUCAUGUUAGCAGUUGAGUAACUUUUAAUAACCAGAUACAAACCAUUCUUCAUUGUUUACAAGGGGCAUUAAAAAGAAAAGGAGGUUGAACUGCAAUGUGAAGUGUAGUUAAAUAUGUAGACAUCUUGGAUUCUAGAAGAGUUUGUAAUGGAUUAAAGGGUUAAGCUAUGAAAUUGUUGCCCUCUGUGAUUUUUCCACACUAGAACAGACUGACAUGGUUUGAAGCAGUUGGGCUUUAACCUAUAGAUAGGAGGACAGAGAUGAUUGCCUAUGAAGCAAUUAUUAAAUAGCUGCAUUUUGGCAUGUUCUAGUUGAAAAGAUUUAGUUUUACCUAUAUCACCUCAUCAUCACUAAUUUAAUCAUCCUCAGAAAAUGCAAAAAUAAUGAUGUACAUUUGACAAGUCUUAUACAAAAUUAUGUUUCAUAGCUUUGUGGUCAGAAUUAAGCCAUGUUCUAAAAUACAAAUGAAUAGUUUACAGCCCACUAAUUCCUAACUGUAAGUGUUAAGUCUAUAUAAAAAUAAGAGACAAGCUUGUGAUCAGGAAUAGCUUCCAAUUAUGAAAAAUUUAAAUAAAAAUAAUAGAAUGUGCUUAAUUUAUUUAUCAUAUACAAAGUAGACAUAUGUGACCAAAAUGAUUCAUUAUUUUUACGAUUUUCAUGGGAAUAAGUUUGACAAUAUU